UUUGUUUGACAGCACCACACUGUGUCUCCCAGGCUGGAGUGCAGAGGCACAAACAGGUAUCACUGUGCCAGGCUCAAGGGAUCCUCCCGUCUCAGCCUCCCAAGUAGCUGGGACCAUAGGUACACACUACCUAUAGCUCGGCUAAUUUUUUUAUUUUUUGUAGAGACAGAGUCUCACCAUGUUACCCAGGCUGGUCUCGAACUCCGGGCUAAAGCAGUCCUCCAGCCUCAGCCUCCCAAAGUGCUGGGAUUAAAGGCAUAAACCACUACACCCAGCCAAAUCUUGUCAUUUUUAGAUACCAAGACUUUUUUUUUUAACUUUAAGAAAAGUUUUUUCUGAAUGAAACUACACAUUUCAUGGACUUCUGAAAAUACAUUGAAUGUCAGGCAGCUUUUGCUUUAAGACUCAAGGUCAUUACCAUAAAUAUUGAUUAUUGCACAGGAUUGCACGAACCAAGGUCCUGGGGGACUGUCAGAUGAAAUGACUGUUUGCCACUAUCUUUCAUGGUCUUGGACUGCUGUACUUAUAUGGUUCUCCUGUGUUUUUUUUUUUGGUGUGUGUGUGUUUAUAUCCUCCACUGGCAGAGACUUAUUUAUUUAUUCAUUUAUUUAUUUAUUCAUUCAUUCAUUCAUUUAUUUUGAGAUGAC
rnacentral:lncRNA from 1 species